AUGGCUGACAGAAUGAGAACAUUCUUGGUGUUUGCUGUGUUGGUGUUAACAGGUGUUCAAGGCUGGAGCAUAACACAGUCUGACCCAGUUGUGACCAGACCAGGAGAGUCUCACAGACUGACCUGUACAGCAACUGGACUAAGCUUUAGCAGCUACUGGAUGGCCUGGAUCAGACAGGCUCCUGGAAAAGGACUGGAGUGGAUCGCUACUUCCACGAAUGGUGGGGGUGCUUACUAUUCCCAGUCAGUCCAAGGCCGUUUCACCACCUCUAGAGACAACAGCAAAGAGCAGAUGUAUCUGCAGAUGAACAGUCUGAAAACUGAAGAUUCUGCUGUUUAUUAUUGUGCACGACUCCCACAGUGACUGGAGUUAGUGAA